rnacentral:lncRNA from 1 species
CCACACGCCUUGCCCGGUCACAAGCUGGCUCUAAUCUGUGCUUCUCCUUUCAGAGGCCAUUAGUGACUUGACUUUUGGUGCUGGGGUCAGUUACAUCAGCUUGAUGCGCACACCCGCUUCAGGUCCAGGCAAGUUCUCUUAGGGAUUCUAACCCGAGGGGGGGGAAACACCCCAAUGAUCAAAUCUGUGGCAUUUCUUACUGUAUGAAAAUGCAUGUUACUUGCAGAGAAGGAGAAGGCUGAGGAGGAGCCAAAAGAUAUCAUCUGUUUGAACUCACCAGACGAAGUCCUUUCCCGGCCCCAGAAGUGGAAAAUAGAAUCCCCAGCAAGGAAAAGGAGCAGCCAGUGUGUCCCCCUGAGACGUUCCCAGCGGAGAACCCCACUGAAACCAGACAACUGAUCCCUUCACUGAACCUUUGUACAGAAUCAUCGGGUUGCCUGAAAUUUGUCCCUUUCCUCUGUAUUUAUAAGUCCCUGUGGGUACACAUCCAUCUUCCCCUCCUUCCUUCUCUAUCUGAUGCGGGUUUUACAUGAAACUGUCUAGGAAAGGGGCACACAAAGCCUGCAUUACCGCAUAUAUGUAUUAUAAACUGCUGCUGUUGACAGAGCUCAGUGGAGUGCUGAAAGAUGCAAUAUAAAGGGAGGCUUGCUCCUCACUCACAGGAUGUAUAAUUUGUCCAUUUGGAAAAGUAAGAGCAUAAUGUUGCCAGCAGCUUAGCAAUAAAGGCAUUUAUCACAGCUUGCAGGGGACUGAGUGGCUCCGCUUAGUCCCUCAUUGUCCCUCCUGGCUCUAUGCUAGGCUUGCUUUAAUAGUACAAAGGUAAACCAGCUUGUCACUGCCAUCCCCCUAAAUCUGGUAAUUGCAAGCUCCAGCACCUCUUAUUUGUUGUGCUAACUCCUGUGUGUGAGAGCAGCCUUUGUGUUCUUUUCUAUGGAAUAUUUCCAGUCUUGAACUAUGUGAUUUCCAUUUUAUGAAAAUAAAUGGUUACGGAAUUAAUUCCACCCACAGCUUCUGCUCUUGAGCUGACAGAGGGCUUCUUUUUUCCUAUGGAUUUCCACAGCCUCUAACUCUCUUCCACUCCGUUGC